rnacentral:rRNA from 1 species
GACAGCAGCCGCCGCGGGAAAACGUAGGGUGCAAGCGUUAAUCGGAAUUACUGGGCGUAAAGCGUGCGCAGGCGGUUAUAUAAGAAAGAUGUGAAAUCCCCGGGCUCAACCUGGGAACUGCAUUUGUGACUGUAUAGCUAGAGUACGGCAGAGGGGGAUGGAAUUCCGCGUGUAGCAGUGAAAUGCGUAGAUAUGCGGAGGAACACCGAUGGCGAAGGCAAUCCCCUGGGCCUGUACUGACGCUCAUGCACGAAAGCGUGGGGAGCAAACAGGAUUAGAUACCCCAGUAGUCCCUGUCUCUUAUAC